rnacentral:tRNA from 1 species
GCCUGGGUGGCUCAGUCGGUUGGGCGUCUGACUUCGGCUCAGGUUAUGCUCUCGUGGUCCGUGAGUUCGAGCCCCGCGUCAGGCU